GGUGAGGAGAGAGAUGGAGUUGGCUGUGCUGUGAAGAGAGCUGGAGUUUGUUGGCUGAGCUGUGAAGGAGCCAGUGCUGCGAGGAGCUGCCCAUGAGAAAUCACUGAGAAGGGGGCGCCAAAUCCUUCCUCAUGGCCCAAGCCCAUCUGUGUACAGAGGAAGAUGAGUACAGUCAGCUUCAAGUAUUAUGGUGCAGGAAUGAUCUUACUGAUGCUUUUAUAAUCUGCAAUCAACAGCUAAAGCAAAAGAUUAAACAUUUGACUAAGUUGACAUAAGGACAGCAUUUGGGGUGCACACCUUCUUAGUGUAUCUACGUAAGCAGCAGUGGUGACACAAGGCUCUACACAGGACUGAGCUCAGCAGGCAGAGAUAGCCUCAGUACUUUUCUGGUGACUUCUCCCCAGCCCA